AUUGCCUGCUUGCAAUGCUGGAGACCCAGGUUCAAUCCCUGGGUUGGGAAGAUCCCCUGGAGAAGGAAAUGGCAACCCACUCCAGUACUCUUGCCUGGAAAAUUCCAUGGAUGGAGGAACCUCACAGGCUACAGUCCAUGGGGUCACAAAGGGGACAGAAAUGUUGGGAGACCCUUUUGGACCUGGUGCUCACUGGACAGUUGUUUCCUAGGAUAUGGGAUGGCCACCGCCAUUUUUGUAGCCAGUGACACUGAUUUAUCCAGGGUGGUGAGGAAUCACGUAG
ensembl:lncRNA